AGGAAAAAAAAGCUAAAACAAAAUGUUCCACUUUGUUUUAUUCACAACUCACUUCCCCUCCCCCACCCUUUUUUUUGUAGAUUCCAAUUCCUCUUCCUUUUCCAUUUCCUAAUAAUCCAAACCAGUUAAUAAUUUCUAUCUUGAACCAACUUGGGGUAAGUAUUCAUUUUUAAGCUACUAUAAGCUACAAAUCUACUUAAUGGGCUGAAGCUAUCCCAAUAAUUUUUUUUUAGGGCUUCUUUGGGUAAGACUUUUUUGCUAUGGUUAUACUGAUAAAAGCAAGUGAUAUUUAAUCUCAGAAAAGGUAAGAAUAAUUCUUACUGAACCAUAAAAAUUUAUGGCAGAAUGGAACCCAAGUAAUCGACCUAAGGUAAAACUCAUGAGUUAUAAACUCAUUUUCCUCCAAGAUCGUUAGAUCAGAAUUUCAGCAGAUCUAAAAGGUAUUCUUUUCAUAAUGCCCAUAGCAUUUGAAAAAAUUUCAGCUUACAGAAAUUAGGUUAAGAAAUUUCAAACAGUAAAUUUUACCUCAAGCUUAUUUUUGUCUUUUGGACAAUUCAUAGUUAACAGUGAGAAAAACCCGCUCUGAAACUACCAAAUCUAGAAAUGCUCUCAUCUCCAGGCAAGGCAACAAAUCUCCUUAACACAAAAGCAUCAGCACUCUUGAUGGAAACUCUGCAAACUUUGAGACUUCUACUCUGAUUCUCACCCAAGUUUGCUUUCAUUUAAAA